UUUUUUUAAUUUUUUUUUUAUUGGAGUUUACUUUGCCAACAUAUAGCGUAACACCCAGUGUUCAUCCCAUCAAGUGCCCCCCUCAGUGCCCGUCAUCCAGUCACCCCAACCCCCCACCCAUCUCCCCUUCCACUACCCCUUGUUCAUUUCCCAGAGUUAGGUGUCUCUCAGGUUCUGUCACCCUCUCUGAUAUUUCUCAGGGGCUGAAUCCUAAGGGACAUUAUUAACAUGUGGGACUUGCAGAGGAAGAAGUACAGCAUAGAGAUGGAUUAGGGGCGUAGUAAGAGGACCUGGAGAGUUCUGGGGAGGCAGGAUGUCAAGAAGGAGGAGGGCAGGCCAUACUCUACAUGCUGCAGCACAGCUGGGGAGAUUGGGCUGAGUAAAGGCCACUGCGGGCAAGUGUUUCAGCACAAAGAGAAUGGCAGCUAGACUGCAAGGGCGGAAAGGAGUCAUGAGAAAGCUAAGUGGGAUGUGUAGUUGCUGUUUUGGGAGGUAUAAAAGAGGCCUGUGAUGUAUAUAUGUACCUAGCAGGAGGGUUUUGUUUUGCUUUUUUUCAACGUGGGACGAUCUUGGUGUGUUUGUAGGAGCUGGUGAGCCGGUAGGGGACAGAGUGAAGCAGUGAAAGAGCCUGAGGAUGGGACUCCUGAGUGGCUCAGUGGUUGAGCAUCUGCCUUUGGCUCAGGGUGUGAUCCUGGAAUCUGGGAUUGAGUCCCACAUCAGGCCCCUUGUAUGGGGCCUGCUUCUCCCUCUGCCUGUGUCUCUGCCUCUCUCUCUCUCUCUCUCUCUCUCUCUCUCUCUCAUGAAUAAAUAAAUAAAAUCUUAAAAAAAAAAAAAAAAAAGAGCCUGAGGAUGAAGCCAAGUCCUGGGGGAGGCAAAGCUGGAUGGGGUCAAGGGGACAAGAGAAACUGACUUUGCAGAGAAGGCACAUUUCAUUCUGUGAAGCUGAAGGGAUUGAUCAAGAAAUUUGGAAUUGAGUAAAGAAUUUAAAGGCACUCAGAUUAUAUCAAGCUAUCCAUGGGCUCAACCUCUUAGUGAAGUCGGGGUUGCAGUCACUUACAGAUGAAGGAGACAUAUGUGGUGGGAAAGAUAUGAACAGAAAGGACUCAAACUCUAUUGUAGGAAUAUAGAGGGAAUCAAAAUAAACAUUAUUAGCUUGCUAAUUAGUAAUAGAGGUUAGCUAGUGUGGAUUUUAAUGAUCAAGUAUCUAUCUGCUCUAUGCCAGGCAAAGAUGAGUAAAAAUGGUACUCUCUGAGCUCAUAGCCGAGUUGGAGACACAAAUGAUGGAGCAUAGCAAGUUAUCUUGCGGAAGUAUGUAUGGGGUGCCGUAAGAUCGCAGAAGAGGGACCUCAGAGUUGGACUUGAGGAGGGAACAGAGGAGAAGAAGGAGCAAGUUUCAGGAUGGCAGGAAAGGCUUCUAGGAGUUAGUGACAGCUCAGCUAAGCCCUGAUAGGGGAGUGGGCCUUAUCUGGGUAGUGGGAAAGUCCAAUGUAAAUAAAGUAUUCCCAGGACAGGAAGUAUCAGAACCAAAGCUUUUUGGAGAGAAGCAAGGCAGAGGUCUGUAAUCUGCCUGCUUCAGAAUCACCUGGAGGCUUACAGUAAAUGUAGAUAUCUACGCUCCACACUAGACUGAGCAGAACUCUGCAUAGUAUCCAGGAAUCUGCAUUUUUAUCAGACUUUCCAGGUGUUCCUUAGAGAUGACAUUUGUUGAAUAGUUAAUGUUAGUUGCUGUUCUAGAUGUUCACAUAGGCUCUCACAGUUGUCUCAGUAACCCUUGGGAUAGGAUGAGGAAAGUGGACAUUGAGAAGUCAUUUGCCCAAAGUCAUACAGGUAAUAAGCAGUGGCUAGGGUUCUAAACUGUCCCCAACACAGCUUGUUAGGGAGGCACAGGUAGUUUGUUUGACUGACAUAUAGUGGGCACACUGAGGGAUAAGGUGAUGGUGAUGAUGGUGAUAAUAGAAGAAGGUGAUGGUGAUGAUGGUGAUAAUAGAAGAAGGUAGUGGUGAUGAUGGUGAUGACGAUGAUGAUAGAAGAAGGAGCCUUGUUAAAAAGCUUAGGUUUUGGCUUCAUGGUCUAGUGACUUUUUCAAUAAUCCUUAUGUACUGAGAAUGAAAGCAAAUAAGGCAGAUAUUGGCUUAUCAGGUUUUUACUGUACCAAACUGCCACUUUAACCUCCAUAGGCUUGUCCCAGUCUGCCUUCAUUUCUCCCCACUGCAUUUCUUUUUUUUUUUUUUUAAUUUUUUAUUUAUUUAUGAUAGUCUCACAGAGAGAGAGAGAGAGGCGGAGACAUAGGCAGAGGGAGAAGCAGGCUCCAUGCACCAGGAGCCCGAUGUGGGAUUCGAUCCCGGGUCUCCAGGAUCGCGCCCUGGGCCAAAGGCAGGCGCUAAACUGCUGCGCCACCCAGGGAUCCCCACUGCAUUUCUUCUAAUAAUCAUGUCUCACUGGAUUGUGCACCUGGACAUGUACCUAUGCCUUCCUCAUCUGUGUUGUAUGUUCAAGUGUCUAGCUCUAACUACUGUAUUUAUUUAGUUGUGUGUCGUGUGUGUGUGUGUGUGUGUGUGUGUGUGUGUGUGUUUCCUUAGUAGAAUUUAACCUUCAGGAGUUUGGGGACUUGGCAUGUUUUCUUUGUUGUAGCCCUAGGACCUGGCACAUAGUAGUCACUCAGUAAUAGAUGUUGAAUAUGUGAAACCUUCUAAUAUUGACCCUCUCAUCUUUCUCUCUCUCUCUCUCUCUCUCUCUCUUUCUCUCACAUAUGUCCUACCACUUACUUGGCUUCACCACUAUUAAGCUCAGCAGGCUCUUACGCUUUCUAAUAUUUCUGCCCCAGGUUCCUGCGAGACAGAUCUCUGCUACAGUAGUGUCCUAGCAGAGAGGUAAGAAGGAACAAAUAUGUUUGGGGCACCUGGGUGGCUCAGUCAGUUAAGUGUCCAACUCUUGGUUUCAACUCAGAUCAUGAUCUCAGGGUUGUGAGAUCGAGCCCCACAUCAGUCUCUGGGCUUGGCAGGGAGUCAGCUUGAGAUUCUCUUUCUCCCUUUCCCCCUCCCCCCUGCUCAUGCUCUCAUGCUCUCUCUCUAAAAUAAAUAAAAUCUUAGGGAAAAAAGGGAACAAAUGAGUAGACAUGCUGCUUUGUGAUACCUCUUUUAUUAUUAUCCAGUGGUGCUAGUUUAACUUCUUCCUUAUGUCCCCAGAUAAGCUCCUAAUUUUCCUACCUUCUGAUUCAGUGCCCCAUACACGGGUGCUCAAUACAUAUUGAUGUCAUCCAGUUGGCUUUUUUCUAACUUACAAGUGUCUAUGUAUAUGUUUUCAUUGAACUUUCCCUAAGUAGA
rnacentral:lncRNA from 1 species